rnacentral:lncRNA from 1 species
AAAAACUAAGAAAAACUGCAGUACCAACACUCUUUAGCAUUCCAAAUCCACCACCAUCUGUAACUGACAAGAGGAUAAGAGAAGUAAGAUGUCCUAAGCCAAAUACUGAAGUGGAAACUCUACCUGCUUCAAAUGAAGAGUUGUUAAAAAAAAAA